rnacentral:lncRNA from 1 species
UUAGGUUUUUUAUUUACAGACCCAACCCUUCUCCUACUUCAGCCGCCGACGUGAAGAAAAUCCUCCCACCCACCGUAUUCGAUCUUAUUUUUUUCAACUAUCAAAGCAUCCCCCCACCGUAUUCGAUCCUCAACCAUCAACACCAGAAGAAACCUAAACGACAUCGCCCCUAUUUGUCUUCUAUCUUGAAGAUUCGGAUUGAUAAAAACAAAAUUGAAGAUUCGGAUUGUAUUUUUUUCGUGAUGAUGAGGAAUCGAAGAUCUGGAAUAAACGCUAAUCUUAAGAUUCAGAUUGUAUUUGUUCGUGACGAUGAUGAACUGAGGAUGAUUUCAAACUAUUUGAUUGAACUCUUUUUCUCUCCUCACUGACUUUCGGUUUUUAAAGGAUGGUAACGUAUCGCCUCGCCGUUGUACAAGUUGUUUUGUAGCUAAUGAGCCCAUGUUUGUGAUCCAAGCUUACAACACCUUUAAAUAGACCGAGACCGUGGUCCAUAUCCGGCUCAUUCGUUCUCAAAGAGCUUCAAGGGAGUUUUGGGUUUAUACUCUGUGAUGUCAAGUCUAAAACUGUGUUCGUAUCACUUGGUGCAGAUAGGGAAGUGAAGCUCUUCCGGGGAAUAGCAGAUCAUGCUCUAUGGUAAUUUCUGAUAACUUGGUG